rnacentral:rRNA from 1 species
UACAGAGGGUGCAAGCGUUAAUCGGAAUUACUGGGCGUAAAGCGUGCGUAGACGGUCAUGUAAGUCGGGUGUGAAAGCCCCGGGCUCAACCUGGGAAUUGCAUUCGAGACUGCAUGGCUAGGAUGCGGAAGAGGGAAGCGGAAUUUCCGGUGUAGCGGUGAAAUGCGUAGAGAUCAGCAGGAACACCCGUGGCGAAGGCGGCCCCCUGGGCCGUACCUGACGCUGAGGCGCGAAGGCUAGGGGAGCGACCCGG